rnacentral:rRNA from 1 species
AGAGCGAACGCUGGCGGCAGGCCUAAUACAUGCAAGUCGAGCGCACCUUCGGGUGAGCGGCGGACGGGUGAGUAACGCGUGGGAACGUACCUUUUGGUUCGGAACAACCCAGGGAAACUUGGGCUAAUACCGGAUAAGCCCUUACGGGGAAAGAUUUAUCGCCGAAAGAUCGGCCCGCGUCUGAUUAGCUAGUUGGUGAGGUAAUGGCUCACCAAGGCGACGAUCAGUAGCUGGUCUGAGAGGAUGAUCAGCCACAUUGGGACUGAGACACGGCCCAAACUCCUACGGGAGGCAGCAGUGGGGAAUAUUGGACAAUGGGCGCAAGCCUGAUCCAGCCAUGCCGCGUGAGUGAUGAAGGCCCUAGGGUUGUAAAGCUCUUUUGUGCGGGAAGAUAAUGACGGUACCGCAAGAAUAAGCCCCGGCUAACUUCGUGCCAGCAGCCGC